ACUUUUCGCCAGAGCAAAUAUCUUGCGGAAUAAGUGGUGNGCCAGACUGNUGCCAGCCGCNGCGGUAACCCCAGCGCCACAAGUGGGNNCCACUUUUAUUGGGUCUAAAGCAUCCGUAGCCGGCUGACUAAAUUUCCUGUGAAAUCGUUCGGCUUAACCGAACGGCGUGCAGGGAAGACUGGUUGGCUUGAGACCAGGAGAAGUAGGAGGUAUUCUUGGGGGAGCGGUAAAAUGUUAUAAUCCCAGGAGGACCACCGAUGGCGAAGGCAUCCUACUAGAAUGGCUCUGACGGUGAGGGAUGAAAGCUAGGGGAGCGAUCCGGAUUAGAUAUCGACGAACUCGCGAGAGAGUUCCUCGGAAUUAGCCUCGCAAGACCGCUGUAUUCUACAAUGCGAGAUAAGUACCGAAGAACAUUAUCGAGUUUGCUCGACUAAUUACCCGAGUAGUCCUAGCCGUAAACACUGCGAGCAAGAUGUUGCGCAUUCCUCGCGAAUGCGCGGUAUCGUAACGAAGGUGUUAAGCUCGCCACCUGGGAAGUACGGUCGCAAGGCUGAAACUUAAAGGAAUUGGCGGGGGAGCAC
rnacentral:rRNA from 1 species